UGAGAGCCUCUUGUUGAACCCCUUC
rnacentral:piRNA from 1 species